rnacentral:rRNA from 1 species
UACGAAGGGGGCUAGCGUUACUCGGAUUGACUGGGCGUAAAGGGCGCGUAGGCGGAUGGUACAGUCAGACGUGAAAUUCCUGGGCUCAACCUGGGGGCUGCGUUUGAUACGUGCUGUCUGGAGUUCGGAAGAGGGUCGUGGAAUUCCCAGUGUAGAGGUGAAAUUCGUAGAUAUUGGGAAGAACACCGGUGGCGAAGGCGGCGACCUGGUCCGAUACUGACGCUGAGACGCGAAAGCGUGGGGAGCGAACAGG